rnacentral:rRNA from 1 species
AAGGGUUAAACAGUAAGCAUAAUUGGUCCAACCCCAAACGUCAGGUCGAGGUGUAGCGCAUGAGAAGGAAAGAAAUGGGCUACAUUCACUACCUAAGUGAACACGAAUGAUAAAUUGAAACAUUCAUCUGAAGGAGGAUUUAGCAGUAAGUAGAAAAUAGAGCGUUCUGCUGAAACCGGUUCUAAAGCGCGCACACACCGCCCGUCACUCUCCCCAAACCACUACUACCCCAUAACUAAACAUAAAUUAACUACAAGGGGAGGCAAGUCGUAACAUGGUAAGUGUACCGGAAGGUGUACUUGGAAAAAC